UACGGAGGGGACUAGCGUUGUUCGGAAUUACUGGGCGUAAAGCGCACGUAGGCGGAUUGUUAAGUCAGGGGUGAAAUCCCGAGGCUCAACCUCGGAACUGCCUUUGAUACUGGCAAUCUCGAGUCCGGAAGAGGUGAGUGGAAUUCCUAGUGUAGAGGUGAAAUUCGUAGAUAUUAGGAAGAACACCAGUGGCGAAGGCGGCUCACUGGGCCGGUACUGACGCUGAGGUGCGAAAGCGUGGGGAGCAAACAGG
rnacentral:rRNA from 1 species